rnacentral:rRNA from 1 species
CCUACGGGAGGCAGCAGUGAGGAAUAUUGGUCAAUGGGCGCGAUCCUGAACCAGCCAAGUCGCGUGAGGGACGCCGGUCCUAUGGAUUGUAAACCUCUUUUUUCGUGGAGCAAAAGACGCCACGCGUGGCGUUCCGAAAGUACCCUACGAAAAAGCAUCGGCUAACUCCGUGCCAGCAGCCGCGGUAAUACGGAGGAUGCGAGCGUUAUCCGGAUUUAUUGGGGUUAAAGGGUGCGAAGGCGGAAGAUGAAGUCAGCGGGAAAAUUGAGAGGCUCAACCUCGUCGAGCCGUUGAAACGGGUUUUCUUGAGUGAGCGAGAAGUAUGCGGAAUGCGUGGUGUAGCGGUGAAAUGCAUAGAUAUCACGCAGAACUCCGAUUGCGAAGGCAGCAUACCGGCGCUCAACUGACGCUCAUGCACGAAAGUGUGGGUAUCGAACAGGAUUAGAUACCCGGGUAGUC